rnacentral:rRNA from 1 species
UACGUAGGGUGCGAGCGUUAAUCGGAAUUACUGGGCGUAAAGCGUGCGCAGGCGGUUAUAUAAGACAGAUGUGAAAUCCCCGGGCGUCAACCUGGGACGUGCAUUUGUUGACUGUAUAGCUAGAGUACGGCAGAGGGGGAGUGAAUUCCGCGUGUAGCAGUGAAAUGCGUAGAUAUGCGGAGGAACACCAUGGCGAAGGCAAUCCCCUGGGCCUGUCAC